ACUAGCGACGUCGUUUCUAACAGUUGUCUUCCCCACACUACAGACAGUGACAACCUAACGACGACGUCUGUCGAGGUUAACAUCGCCGUUACUGGCUUUAAACGCAAGUAGACAAAAGCACAGUUGUGUGUGUUUCUUGCUUAACUCGUUGUAUAGAUUUCAAACAAAGCGGUCUACCAAUCACGAUGGCUAAACAAACACGGUUGUACCUAGCUGUCAUCUUGUUGCUACUUUUCAUAACCCUGGAAGCCAGACACAUCCACCAUCACCAUCAUCACCGUCUGGCUCAAAGUCCAGAAUGCAGCCAGACAGGCCUACCGUGUAGCGGAAUUCCUUGUUGCUCUACAUCUGACCAAUGCACGUUUGACUUUAAUUGGGGCUAUUCUUACUGCUCACGUCGCUACAUCUGAUCACACAGCAUUGAGGCGGCAAAUAGUCCUCGUCGACUUCGACAGAAUAACAAGUGAAUGAUGUCGCCUGCUACAAAUGACCAUUGGAUGCUGGAUGUACCCAAAUAGUAACAACAACAACAGGGUGCGUCUGCCUACUGUCCGAUUCUGGGAUGUUAACGAAUCGCACGAGUAUAAGAUCACCGAGUUUGAAGCUGUUUCUAAAUUUACUGUGGUUCCAUGCAUUGAGGGAUUUUCACAGUUUUUAUUAAGUGUUCUGUUCUAUUCAAGAAAUUAAAGGAAAAAAUAAAUUCCAUUGAAAUGAAA